rnacentral:rRNA from 1 species
GACGAACGCUGGCGGCGUGCUUAACACAUGCAAGUCGAACGGUGAAGCGCCUUCCUUUUUGGUGGGUGUGGAUGAGUGGCGAACGGGUGAGUAACACGUGAGUAACCUGCCCCCUUCUUCUGGAUAACCGCAUGAAAGUGUGGCUAAUACGGGAUAUUCUGGGUCUGUCGCAUGAUGGGUCUGGGAAAGAUAUUGUUUCGGUGGGGGAUGGGCUCGCGGCCUAUCAGCUUGUUGGUGGGGUGAUGGCCUACCAAGGCGGUGACGGGUAGCCGGCCUGAGAGGGUGGACGGUCACACUGGGACUGAGACACGGCCCAGACUGCUACGGGAGGCAGCAGUGGGGAAUAUUGCACAAUGGGCGCAAGCCUGAUGCAGCGACGCCGCGUGAGGGAUGGAGGCCUGCGGGUUGUGAACCUCUUUCGCCAGUGAAGCAGGCCUGCCUCGUUUGUGGGUGGGUUGACGGUAGCUGGAUAAGAAGCGCCGGCUAACUACGUG